rnacentral:siRNA from 1 species
AGGGCUUGAUUGGUUCUCCCUCUG